AACGAACGCUGGCGGCACGCUUAACACAUGCAAGUCGAACGAAGUAUUUAUACUUAGUGGCGGACGGGUGAGUAACGCGUAGGGACCUGCCCAUGGGUGGGGGACGACUUCGGGAAACUGAAGCUAAUACCCCAUAAGUCGGAAACGAGAAAGGCUUCGGCCGCCGAUGGAUGGACCUGCGUAAGAUUAGGUAGUUGGUGAGGUAAUGGCUCACCAAGCCGAUGAUCUUUAGCUGGUUUGAGAGGAUGAUCAGCCACACUGGGACUGAGACACGGCCCAG
rnacentral:rRNA from 1 species